rnacentral:siRNA from 1 species
CUAGCUAUGAUUAGGAUUGUUAAC